rnacentral:rRNA from 1 species
AACGAACGCUGGCGGCAUGCCUAACACAUGCAAGUCGAACGAGACCUUCGGGUCUAGUGGCGCACGGGUGCGUAACGCGUGGGAACCUGCCUUUAGGUUCGGACUAACUCAGAGAAAUUUGAGCUAAUACCGGAUGAUGUCUUCGGACCAAGGAUUUAUCGCCUUUAGAUGGGCCCGCGUUGGAUUAGCUAGUUGGUGGGGUAAAGGCCUACCAAGGCGACGAUCCAUAGCUGGUCUGAGAGGAUGAUCAGCCACACUGGGACUGAGACACGGCCCAGACUCCUACGGGAGGCAGCAGUGGGGAAUAUUAGACAGUGGGCGAGAGCCUAGUCCAGCAAUGCCGCGUGAGUGAUGAAGGCCUUAGAGUUGUAAAACUCUUUUACCCGGGAUGAUGAUGACAGUAUCAGGAGAAUAAGCUCCGGCUAACUCCGUG